UACGUAGGUGGCAAGCGUUUGUCCGGAAUUAUUGGGCGUAAAGCGCGCGCAGGUGGUUUCUUAAGUCUGAUGUGAAAGCCCACGGCUCAACCGUGGAGGGUCAUUGGAAACUGGGGAACUUGAGUGCAGAAGAGGAAAGUGGAAUUCCAAGUGUAGCGGUGAAAUGCGUAGAGAUUUGGAGGAACACCAGUGGCGAAGGCGGUCUGCUGGACAGCAACUGACGCUGAGGCGCGAAAGCGUGGGGAGCAAACAGG
rnacentral:rRNA from 1 species